rnacentral:piRNA from 1 species
UGACGUUGCCUAAAAUUCACA